AUUGAACGCUGGCGGCAUGCCUUACACAUGCAAGUCGAACGGCAGCGGGGACUUCGGUCCGCCGGCGAGUGGCGAACGGGUGAGUAAUACAUCGGAACGUACCCAGGAGUGGGGGAUAACGUAGCGAAAGUUACGCUAAUACCGCAUAUUCUGUGAGCAGGAAAGCGGGGGAUCGCAAGACCUCGCGCUCUUGGAGCGGCCGAUGUCGGAUUAGCUAGUUGGUGAGGUAAAAGCUCACCAAGGCGACGAUCCGUAGCAGGUCUGAGAGGAUGAUCUGCCACACUGGGACUGAGACACGGCCCAGACUCCUACGGGAGGCAGCAGUGGGGAAUUUUGGACAAUGGGGGCAACCCUGAUUCAGCCAUGCCGCGUGAGUGAAGAAGGCCUUCGGGUUGUAAAGCUCUUUCGGCGGGGAAGAAAUGGCAACGGCUAAUAUCCGUUGUUGAUGACGGUACCCGCAUAAGAAGCACCGGCUAACUACGUGCCAGCCGCCGCGGUAACAC
rnacentral:rRNA from 1 species